rnacentral:rRNA from 1 species
AGGAUAAACGCUGGCGGCGUGCCUAACACAUGCAAGUCGAACGCGCUUUCGGGAUUCGGUGCGAGAGCGAGUGGCGGACGGGUGAGUAACACAUGGGUACCUACCUUGGAGUGAGGGAUACCGGCGAGAAAUCGCCGACAAUACCGCAUAGGCUUCUUCACAAGGGAAGCAAAGUGACGCGAGUCACGCUGUGAGAUGGGCCUGUGGCCGAUUAGCUAGUUGGGGGGGUAACGGCUUCCCAAGGCGACGAUCGGUAGCUGGUCUGAGAGGACGAUCAGCCACACUGGGAUUGAGAACGGCCCAGACUCCUACGGGGGCAGCAGUGAGGAAUUUUCCGCAAUGGAGGCAACUCUGACGGAGCAACGCCGCGUGCAGGAGGAAGGUUUUCGGAUCGUAAACUGCUUUUCUCGGGGACGAGCAAGGACGGUACCCGAGGAAGAAGCCCCGGCUAACUACGCGCCAGCAGCCGC